GAAAGGGCGUGCAAAUGCAAAGCACCGCCUGGGCGCAGUCUAAAAGAACAAGACGUAGACAAGGAAAAGUUGUCGCGCGCCCCAGUUAGG
rnacentral:ncRNA from 1 species